rnacentral:rRNA from 1 species
CCUACGGGUGGCAGCAGUAGGGAAUCUUCCGCAAUGGACGAAAGUCUGACGGAGCAACGCCGCGUGAGCGAAGAAGGUCUUCGGAUCGUAAAGCUCUGUUGUCAGGGAAGAACAAGUACGAGAGUAACUGCUCGUACCUUGACGGUACCUGACCAGAAAGCCACGGCUAACUACGUGCCAGCAGCCGCGGUAAUACGUAGGUGGCAAGCGUUGUCCGGAAUUAUUGGGCGUAAAGCGCGCGCAGGCGGUCCUUUAAGUCUGAUGUGAAAGCCCGCGGCUUAACCGCGGAGGGUCAUUGGAAACUGGAGGACUUGAGUGCAGAAGAGGAGAGUGGAAUUCCACGUGUAGCGGUGAAAUGCGUAGAGAUGUGGAGGAACACCAGUGGCGAAGGCGACUCUCUGGUCUGUAACUGACGCUGAGGCGCGAAAGCGUGGGGAGCA